rnacentral:lncRNA from 1 species
GUUCCCCAUCGUGGUGCUGGUCCAGUCCUGGUCCCCAUCCUGCUCCCAGCCUCGUCCCCAUCAUGGUGCUGUUCCAGUCCUGGUCCCCAUCCUGCUCCCAGCCUCAUCCCCAUCACAGUGCUGGUCUGUUCCACAUUGUGGUGCUGGUCCAGCCCAGGUCCUCAUCCCAGUCCCAGCCUCAUCCCCAAAACAGUGCCAGUCUGCUCCCUGUCCACCCCGCUCCAGUCCCCAUUGUGCUGUUGGUCCAGUCCCAGUCCCCAUCCUGCUCCCAGCCUCAUCCCCAACACAGUGCCUGUCCAGUCCCUGUCCUCCCUGGUCCUUUCCCCAUCAUGGUGCUGGUCUGGUCCCCAUCCUGCUCCCAGCCUCACCCCCAUCGCGGUGCUGCUCCAGUCCCAGCCUGUCUCAGUCCAAUCCCCAGCCAAACACAAGCCCACUCGCAGCCCCCACCUGUCUCCGUCCGAUCCCAGUCCUGUCUCAGCCUGGUCUAAUUCUGACCCCAGUCCAGUCCCAGUCUGGCCCUGAUCCCACCCCCAUCUAGUCCCAGGGCAGCGCAGCCCAGCUGGGCGCGGGGUCCCCCUUGGUGCCGCCCGCAGCCCCGGYUGCACCCGGUGCCUUCGCUGCAGGGGAGCACCGGGACACGGACCGGUGCUGCCGGGACCAUGACCACUGCCAGCACGUCAUCCACCCCUUCACGGCCCGCUACGGCUACCGCAACCUGCGCUGGCACACCAUCAGCCACUGCGACUGCGACCGCAGGUGAGCCGCCUCGCGCCCCGGCCGCGUCCCGGCUCCCUCCCGCCGCCGCGGGCACCCCGGCCCGCUGGGCACCCCGUGCCCCUCCCUCACCCCGGCUCUGCUCGGCCGCCCAGGUUGAGGGACUGCCUGCGGCGGGUCAACGACAUGGCCUCGCGGGUGGUGGGCCAGGCCUUCUUCAACGUGCUCCGCGUGCCCUGCUUCGAGUUCGCCUACAAGGAGGAGUGCGUGGAGCCCUACCUCUAYGUCUGGUGCAAGGCGUACAACACGGUGGCCGUCGCGGUGCCGAGGGAGCCGGUGCUCUACGAGUUCGGCGGGGAGCUCAUCGACAGGGCGGCAGGGCCCGGGGACGCCGGGGGGGGCCCUCGGAGCAGCACGGGCGCUGGACCGGCACCUGCCGAGCAUCACACGACCGCUCGCGCUGUCACCRCGACCACGGUGGACGAUCGCCUGCUGCCCACCCCACAGGCGACCCYGAACGAGAGGAAGGGGAAAGAGAAGAAGAAAAAGAAGGGGAAAGGCCUGAAAAAGAAAGGYCCUUCCGAAAAUGGGAGGCUGAGCCAUCCUGCCCCGGUUGCCCACGCUCAUCCCCCCGAGCGGCCGGGCGCAGCGGAGCUGGGGGAGGCGGCGAGGCAGGACCUGCGGGCCAAGCUGCUGGCGCGGAGCCUGGACUUGGGGGGUGA